AUUGAACGCUGGCGGAAUGCUUUACACAUGCAAGUCGAACGGCAGCACGGCCUUCGGUCCGGUGGCGAGUGGCGAACGGGUGAGUAAUGUCUCGGAACGUGCCCAGCCGUGGGGGAUAACGGAGUGGAAAGUACGCUAAUACCGCAUACGAUCUAUGGAUGAAAGCGGGGGAUCGCAAGACCUCGCGCGAUUGGAGCGGCCGAUAUCAGAUUAGGUGGUUGGUGGGGUAAAGGCCCACCAAGCCAACGAUCUGUAGCUGGUCUGAGAGGACGACCAGCCAGACUGGAACUGAGACACGGUCCAGACUCCUACGGGAGGCAGCAGUGGGGAAUUUUGGACAAUGGGCGAAAGCCUGAUCCAGCCAUUCCGCGUGCAGGAUGAAGGCCCUCGGGUUGUAAACUGCUUUUGUACAGAACGAAAAGGUUUCUACUAAUACUAGGAGCUCAUGACGGUACUGUAAGAAUAAGCACCGGCUAACUACGUGCCAGCAGCCGCAGUAA
rnacentral:rRNA from 1 species